rnacentral:siRNA from 1 species
AUCGAAUUCAUCAAGGUGGUCGAG